CACCAAGACGACGAUGCGUAGGGGUUCUGAGAGGAAGGUCCCCCACACUGGUACUGAGACACGGACCAGACUCCUACGGGAGGCAGCAGUGAGGAAUAUUGGUCAAUGGGCGGGAGCCUGAACCAGCCAAGUCGCGUGAGGGAUGACGGCCCUAUGGGUUGUAAACCUCUUUUGCCGGGGAGCAAAGUGCCGCACGUGUGCGGUUUGGAGAGUACCCGGAGAAAAAGCAUCGGCUAACUCCGUGCCAGCAGCCGCGGUAAUACGGAGGAUGCGAGCGUUAUCCGGAUUUAUUGGGUUUAAAGGGUGCGUAGGCGGACGCUUAAGUCAGCGGUAAAAUUGCGGGGCUCAACCUCGUCGAGCCGUUGAAACUGGGUGCCUUGAGUGGGCGAGAAGUACGCGGAAUGCGUGGUGUAGCGGUGAAAUGCAUAGAUAUCACGCAGAACUCCGAUUGCGAAGGCAGCGUACCGGCGCCCAACUGACGCUGAAGCACGAAGGCGUGGGUAUCGAACAGGAUUAGAUACCCUGGUAGUCCACGCAGUAAACGAUGAAUGCUAGUUGUCCGGGGCGAUUGAGUUCUGG
rnacentral:rRNA from 1 species